rnacentral:lncRNA from 1 species
AUAGUUGCAAGAAUUUUCUACAGAGGGACCAUUCGCAUAAAAUAAAUGCAUUGGGCAUCUGUAAGAAACAGAGCAGACAAUUCUUGAAAGCAAAAACUCUCAUCUGACAUCUUGGCUGGCAUUAAAAAUCCUGUUGUGUGAUGCUGAAAAACUUCAACAACCCUCUGCUGGAAGCUGUUUGGGAGAAAACAAAGUUCUAGUUCUCUUUCUCCCUCCCUCAUUUUUAAGGUGAAUUUAACUGUGUUAGAGGGAGCCAAACUGAGAACAUGAUGAUGGAAUGAUCCGGUGCUUCUCAGAGACUGCAAGCCCCACCUUGCUGUCUGUCGUUGGUGGGCACAAUCCAUCCUCAGCUGGUUUCUGCGGGUCACCAUCGGAGCUGUGAACUCACAACGACUUAUGGUCCCGAUCAGAGUGCAUUAGAAUCAUGAAACACUUGAACAUAAACCCCAUAAAUCUUGAUUUGCCAUCAUCAGUCCCCUGAAGCAGCUGGCGCUGGCAGAACAGCUCCUUUAAAAUGGCAGAGCAGCUGCUCAGCUGGUGUAAAUCAGCACAGGACCUUGUAGAAGAAGGAGUAGAAGUAGAAAAGUAGAAGUAGAAAAACAGUGGUACCGCUUAAAGGUUGUUUUUUAAAGAGAUCAGUGAGUAACUAAAAGUUUAACGUGCCCGCUGGGAAGGGUAUAAAAGAAGAGUCUAAUUUGCAGAAAAGAAGAUUUAAAUUAUAUAUGGAAAAAAAAAAAGAAAAAAAGAUAUUUAGUGGCUUAGCACCAGGCAGGCGACGUUGCAGAUCUUCACUGGAGGUUUGUAAGAACUGAAUAAUUAGACCAACAUCUGUCACACGUAGGUGGAUCCUGUUCUGGUGAAGUGGACGGGUUCUGGAGAUCUCUUCAGUGCUUGCACAGCAUGGAGAAAUGGACCUCGCCGUUGACACUGAUAGUGGAGCUGCUCGUGAGAGGAAGAAUUUGAGAGUGGGAGCCCAGCAAGAGGGUGGAAUUCAUCACUCCUACCAGACACACACCAUGGGGCCCCGCACAGAAGAUGGUCUAUCUCACACCUCUGCUACUGUGGAGUUUUCCAGCUGUCCCAUGUCUUGGCAGCGCCUUGUCUUCUGCAGAGCCCUCAACCAGAUCCUCUCCUCCCCUUCACCGCAAGGUUAAAAGCCGGUUUCUCUGCCAGCCCUUUCAGCCUCUCGCUUUGUGGUUCUAGGAUGCAAGUCUGGGAGAAGUCCUGAACUUCAGAGAUUGGAGAAGGUGAGGGUUUGGUUUUGUUUUGCUUUGUUUUGUUUUCCAGAAUUUUGAAAAAAUAGUUCAGUGUGUGCUUAUUGAGAUUUUUUUCGGGGGAAACUAUGAACUCUAAACAACAUCUGAGCUGCCCUUGUGCUACAAUAACAAGGUAUAGUGUGAAGUAACUGAAAUAUAUGAAGUAGUAUUUGGAACAUCUCAUGCAUUUACAUUUCCAAACAAGUCAUAUUAACCCCUGGAAUAACCCAGUGCAUACUUUCAGUCAGUGUCAUCCCUUCCCAUUGCCUU